GACGAACGCUGGCGGCGUGGAUUAGGCAUGCAAGUCGAACGGUAUCAUCCUUUCGGGGGUGAGAGAGUGGCGAACUGGUGAGUAACACGUAGGUUAUCUACCCUCAAGACGGGGACAACCCAGGGAAACUUGGGCUAAUACCGGAUGUGAGCAACUUUUAGUUGUUUGAAAGGUGGCGUAAGCUGUCGCUUGGGGAUGAGCCUGCGUCCUAUUAGUUAGUUGGUGAGGUAACGGCUCACCUAGGCAAUGAUAGGUAGGCGGCCUUAACGGGUGGUCGCCCACACUGGGAUUGAGAUACGGCCCAGACUCCUACGGGAGGCAGCAGUCGAGAAUAGUCUACAAUGGUUGGAAGACUGAUAGUGCGACGCCGCGUGAACGAUGAAUCCCUUCGGGGUGUAAAGUUCUUUUAUAUGUGAGCAGUGCUUCUUAUAUUAACAGUAUGGGGAGAGAGAUAUUAGCAUAUGAAUAAGCAACGGCUAACUCCGUGCCAGCAGCCGCGGU
rnacentral:rRNA from 1 species